AGACUUUUCUCGCUGCAACAAGUGCACCUGGCAGAGCACCAAGAGGAGUUUACUGUUAACAUUCACGCUGACUUCAACACUGUCAAAGAGCUGAGUGUACGACCAGAUGUAGUGAAGUUAUCCUACCACAGAUCCAACGAGCUGAUAACGAGCAACAACUACUCAUCUGCCCUUGACGAGGGUUACAACGUCAUAAAAACCGCCCUGUUCGAGUCCAUCGAGGUGCAGAAGUCCAAGUCCCUCGUAAAGCAGAUCGUGACCG